GGAUAUCUAUUGAAGCGGAAACAGAAGCAAGCUACUAGGAAUUAGGAUGAUGACAUUUUUUUUUCAGAGCUGAAAUGAGUAGAAGUCUGAUUGUGGGGGAGGGAGAAGCAUUUUGUAAUUAAAAAGGUAGGUUUGGAUCUUCUGUUUCAUUUUCUGAUGAACUGAACACUCAUAAAACCCAGCUAGUGCAGCCAAGCCAAGAUCUGGCAAGUCACGUGUAAAAAGCUUACGUGUGUGGCUCUCUUGGCCCAUGCCACUUUGCACGUACAAAAUCCUCUUGUCUCAAACCCAUCCUUCACCUUGCAAGCAUCACAGUUGUCUCAGGCUGUCUAAUGUCUUACUCACGCAGACACACAUCUGUAAUAGCUGCUUUGGAAUCACUCUCUCUCCCUGAAAACUUGAGAACAAUUUAAAUUGGGGUUGAUGGUGUUUCACUUCACCGGGUCAAAGAGAUUGUCACCGUUCCAUUAUUAUAAGAGUUUAGAGUCUUCUGUCUCUCAAGCUGGAAAUGACUAAAAAGCACUGUAUAGUCUCUGUCUACAGCUUUGGCUUGUGUAUGUGACCUCUAACACAUGAGACAGCUAAAGAGAACAAUUUAUUGAAGCUCAUUGUGAAUUAAAUGUGCAAGACUUCAAGAAUGCGUCCCACCAGAAUGAGGCUCAGAGCUCUGCACGUUUAAAGUGGUGGAGCUUAAUGAGUCUUCUCCUGACUAAGCCUGACUAAUUUGUGAGAAUUUUGAAUAAACCUGACUCUUUCAAUGGCAAUUCUGAGGAUCCAGUUGGAUAGAACACGUCUUCAGGCUUAGCUUGGAAACUGGGUGUGUCUAAUAUUCUACAGAUACACUUGUAAUAAAUUAAUGGUGGCUUCCGUGAAGCAGGUCCCCACAGCCUACUCCACAAAGCUACAGAGAACAGAGUUGCAGUUAAUGCAAACUGUGAAGGAUUCCAUCCAAAAAGGCCUCCCAUCCAUCUGGAGCUAAUGAUGUUUCCAGCACUCAGCGAGGCUCCUGGGAACCAAACAACCCUGUUGUCAGCCUACCUGGUCUAGCAUUUCCAGGAGCAGCUGGCUUGUUCCAGAGAGGUCUAAGUCCUCCAAUCCAUCAGAGACGCCCCGGUCCGGUUCUGUGGAAAUUUCUAGGCUAGUUAUUUCCUCCAUGACUCAUCCAUGUGUUUCAUCCAAACUUAAAAAUGCUCCUCCUGUCACCAUCCUCUCCAAAGUCCCAACCCCUGUGGCUCUGUGCUUUCUUCUCCCUGAACAGACGUAAUUUCCACCGUAUUUCUUAGAACCUAUACUUAAUUGCACACAACAUCACAUACACCCUUAGCCUAGUCACAGAUCCUUCACCCAUUUUCUGGCUCUCACUGAAACCUUCUCUCUCAAGUGGACACUCUCAUUUGGGUUGGAGUCCUUGCUCCCAAUGUAACUUGUAGAUCUUUACUCCUUCGCAGUUCUCCUCGCUCAUUCCCCUCUUUCAGGGAGCCCCUGGGCUCACUGUCAAUCCUUUCAUCUCAGGUGUAUAAAUCCACCCUUCAUCUUAGGCUCUUAACUCCUUUUCUUCCUCAACAGACCAGGAACCUGGUAGCACCUACCAUCCAAAUAUACCCCAAAGCUCACCACUUCUUUCUGCCUCCACUGCCUCCACCUAGGCUGUAUUACAGGCCACCACAGUCUUUUACCUGUGCUGCUGUAACCUCGUAAAUCAGCUUUCUGAUUCUCCUUUUGCCCCCAUAGUCAGUUUUCCAUUCAGCUGCCGGAGGAAUUUCCCUAAAAUGUAUCAUGUCAUGUCAUGCCUCUGCUCAGAACCCUUUAGGGGCUUUCCAUCCCACUGAGACUGAAAUCCAAAGCCCUCUGGGGUCAACCCCUGCCCAUCUCUCUGCCUCAACUCCUAUCACAUCCCUCUUGUUCAGGCCGCCCCCGCCAUACUGGAAUCCUUCGGCUCCACCAAGCUCACUCUCUCCUCACAGUCUCUUCCUGGAGAGCUCCUUUUGUGGACAUCCACAUGGCUUUCUCUUCACUCCAUUCAGCUCCCUGCUUGAAUGGAAUGCCCCGGAGAGCCCUCCCUGAUCACUUUAUCCAGAAUAGUCCCUUCCUCUCCUUGCCCCCAAUAUCACUCUCAACUUGAAGCUGUGCACACCUUAAAACCACAGUUAUAAUGUCCAGGUGUGUUUGUUUAGGCCCCUCCAACCACCUGAAAACAGAAUACAUCGAAUGAGAAUGAUCUCAAUUGUCCCGUCUCCCUAACCCUUGCCUUCAU
rnacentral:lncRNA from 1 species